CCCUUAGAUGUUCUGGGCCGCACGCGCGCUACACUGAUGCAUUCAACGAGUUAUUCUUUGACCUUGGUCGAAAGAUCUGGGUAAUCUUUUGAAAUUGCAUCGUGAUGGGGCUUGCGGGUUGCAAUUACCCGCACCAACGAGGAAUUCCUAGUAAACGCAAGUCAUCAGCUUGCAUUGAUUACGUCCCUGCCCUUUGUACACACCGCCCGUCGCUCCUACUGAUUGGGUGAUCCGGUGAGCUGUUCGGCCAUAGCAAUGUUUCUUGAGUAGGGCAAUGAAUGUUUCGCAAACCUUGCCACUUAGAGGAAGGAGAAGUCGUAACA
rnacentral:rRNA from 1 species